rnacentral:lncRNA from 10 species
UAGUUCACAAGUCUUCAGGUUGAAAAGCUACACCCUAGGAACUACAGCUGAGGAGCCCACCUCCACAUCUGGAACUUAUUCAGAUGAUGAGAUCAUGGACCUUGAUCCUGAGUCUGACGCUGUAAUGUGCUGAAUUUUGCUGGGUGGGUAAGAGUAUCAAGGAGUGCCUCCUCUUGAGUCUGGGUGGCCUCUGCGAUUGCUUUGACCAAUAGAAUACUGCAGAAGUGACACUGUGCUACUUUCCAAGCCCAGGAAAUUCAGACUGGUAACUACUAUUUCCUGCCUCUUGGGAACACUGUCCCUUGGAGCCCACCACGUAUUUGGCUGGA